CAGCCAUCUUGGAAUUUGUAUGUAAACAAUCUGCAAUAUUUUGCAAUUUUUUUUUUGUGCUUUGUGUGUGGAAUUGUUUUGGUGGCAAUAAGAGCAUUGAAAAGUUGAAAGCUCAAGAGAAUAAAUCGACUCUCGGUGUCGGUUGGUAAUGGAGAUAUUUUAUCCGCGUUUUGCAGCUAGAGAUGUCGCUUAAUCGUUCGAUUAAUUCAAAUAAUCGAAUAUCUGUAUCAGUAAUUUUAUAUCAAAUAAUAAAAAAUCAAGAAAAUACAGUGCAAAAUUUGUUUAACCGUCAUGGUGUUAUGACAUCAUAUUUUUUAUUAUAAAUAUGUCUGUUCUUUUUGAUUACAAGAAAUAAAUAUUCGCUCGGUUAAUCGAAUACUGAAAAACAAUUAUUCGAAUGAGUCGAAUAUUUAAAAAGACGGGUUGGUAAUGUCGGGGACAUAACCGGAGUGACGUAGGACUAUA